GCCUGAGGAGGCCCACAUUCCCCAAUCCGCGAGCUAGCUGUCCCUUUUGGGUGGCUGUGACACUCGGGAAUAGCCACCCUUUGUCUGGUAGCAGCAGAUGCUCCUCUGCUUGCCCCAGCUUCUCCCUUCUUUCUGGCACGUUGCCACGCUUCCUUCCCUCCAGUGCCACUCCUUGCACGUUAGUAAGGCAGCCCAGUCUUCCUUGGUGGCUCCCAAAGCUACCCUGCCCAGGGGAAUGUGGGGAUGCGUGGGCCCCCGGGAGAGCUGGUGCUCACAGCCUCGGCUCUUUUAGUAUUCCCUCCAGGUCCAGGAGAGAAGCCCCCAGACUAUCCAUCAGGGACUGUGGAAUGUGCCUAGCUCUGCCUUGACUGAUGUGUGUGCGCGCGUGCGCGCGCCGCGCGCCCCCGUCCACAGAGGCGCGUGCCUGUGUGUGUGCACACGCCCUCCAUCUGCUGGUGAACGCACACAUCCACGCACACCUUCAGCCUCCUUUCUCACUCCCCUCCCUGCUGCCCAAGCAGCCGCAUGCUCUGAACAGACCUCCCGUUAGUUGGCACACUGCUUGGGCUGCUCCCCUCCGCCGCCGGCCGCCGCCGCCGGCCGGGGCUCCCCGACUUGCGCUCCUUCCAGCUGCUGCGGCGGCGGCAGCAGUGGCGGCGGUUGCUGCCAGGGGAAAGCUGGGCAGCCAGGCGGAGAGCAGUGCUUUUAAGCCUUUGCGUCCUGGAGGGGGGGGACACACAGAAGCCCGCGGACCACAGUAAGAAGCCCUGAGCGAGGCGCCCCCACUCUUGCCUCCUUUCUGCCUCCCUCCCCUCCCCCUUCCCUUCCUCCUCCCCCUCUCCUCCCCUCCUUCGCCCCCGCCGCCGCCGCCGCCGUCCGGCUGCCUCCCGGGCCGCCAGCCGCCGCACUCCCCGCAGCCAGCCGGCGCGAUGGUGAAGCCCGCCGCCGCCGCCACGCAGCCAUGGAGCCCGGCCGAGCAGCCCGCGCGCGCCUCUGCCUCCCUGCCCGCAGUCCGCCCCCCGAGCCCGAGCCCCGAGCGUCCCGGGCCAGCAGCCCCCGGCGCCCGCCGCCACUGAAGCCCCGGGCCAUGGCGGCCUCGUGCCGGGACCGCAGCUAGCUCGCUCGGGCCACCGCCACCGCCGCCGCCGCCACCGCGGAGGAGGAGGAGGAAAAGGAGGAGGGAAGACCUCGCAGACUCUGGGUAAGUGGAGGCGCAGCGCGGCAUGGCGCGGCCAGGACCAAGGCCAGGGCCCGUUUCGGUUCUGCGGGGCCCGCGCCCCCUCCCGGGGGCUGCCCUAGGAGGACUUGCAG
rnacentral:lncRNA from 1 species